AAUCUUGCGCAAUGGGCGAAAGCCUGACGCAGCCAUUCCGCGUGACUGAUAAAGGUCUUCGGAUUGUAUAAUUCUUUCACCGGGGAAGAUAAUGACGGUACUCGUAGAAGAAUCCCCGGCUAGCUACGUGCCAGCAGCCGCGGUAAUACGAAGGGGGCUAGCGUUGCUCGGAAUUACUGGGCGUAAAGGGCGCGUAGGCGGACAUUUAAGUCAGGGGUGAAAUCCCAGAGCUCAACUCUGGAACUGCCUUUGAUACUGGGUGUCUUGAGUGUGAGAGAGGUAUGUGGAACUCAGAGUGUAGAGGUGAAAUUCGUAGAUAUUCGGAAGAACACCAGUGGCGAAGGCGACAUACUGGCUCAUUACUGACGCUGUGGCGCGAAAGCGUGGGGAGCAAACA
rnacentral:rRNA from 1 species